rnacentral:lncRNA from 1 species
AGAGUGAAUCGGCCCCUAAGGAACCCCCGAAAGGGCUGCCGUCCGAUGGGUACACGAAAGUGACGAAGUUGCUUUGCUCUCACCGCCCCUCAGGCUUAAAAGACUCGUGACUAUGGCAGGGCGGUACGCUCUGCUCUCUCGCGACCCCCACACUGACAAAUGCAUGCAGAGAACUCUUCAAAUGCUGGAGGUGUGGCUCACCUAAACGUUCAGAAAUGACAAGAACAAUAGGAACAUUCUUGAAUCAGAAACUGGAACAAAAGCAGGUCUUCUUUUCCCUGUUUUGACAUAUUGACAUAAUCAACUGAUUGAACAGAACAUCAAGGCGCUAAGCUGGCAAAAGGGCUUUGAGACGGAGUCCUUCCCGCCCGAAAUGAAUGCGCCUAGGAACUACGAUUCUGAAGAGGCUACGUUCCCGGCCUCCCCUCUUUCGUGU